rnacentral:rRNA from 1 species
GGUUUGAUCCUGGCUCAGAUUGAACGCUGGCGGAAUGCUUUACACAUGCAAGUCGAACGGCAGCACGGGGGCAACCCUGGUGGCGAGUGGCGAACGGGUGAGUAAUACAUCGGAACGUGCCCAGUCGUGGGGGAUAACGUAGCGAAAGUUACGCUAAUACCGCAUACGAUCUACGGAUGAAAGCGGGGGAUCGCAAGACCUCGCGCGAUUGGAGCGGCCGAUGUCAGAUUAGGUUGUUGGUGAGGUAAAGGCUCACCAAGCCGACGAUCUGUAGCUGGUCUGAGAGGACGACCAGCCACACUGGGACUGAGACACGGUCCAGACUCCUACGGGAGGCAGCAGUGGGGAAUUUUGGACAAUGGGGGCAACCCUGAUCCAGCCAUUCCGCGUGAGUGAAGAAGGCCUUCGGGUUGUAAAGCUCUUUCGCAAGGGAAGAAAACUUAUGAUCGAAUAAAUCAUGAGGUUGACGGUACCUUGAUAAGAAGCACCGGCUAACUACGUGCCAGCAGCCGCGGUAAUACGUAGGGUGCGAGCGUUAAUCGGAAUUACUGGGCGUAAAGCGUGCGCAGGCGGUUUUGUAAGUCGGAUGUGAAAUCCCCGGGCUCAACCUGGGAACUGCGUUCGAAACUGCAAGGCUAGAGUGUGUCAGAGGGGGGUAGAAUUCCACGUGUAGCAGUGAAAUGCGUAGAGAUGUGGAGGAAUACCAAUGGCGAAGGCAGCCCCCUGGGAUAACACUGACGCUCAUGCACGAAAGCGUGGGGAGCAAACAGGAUUAGAUACCCUGGUAGUCCACGCCCUAAACGAUGUCAACUAGUUGUUGGUAGAGUAAAAUCUAUGAGUAACGUAGCUAACGCGUGAAAGUUGACCGCCUGGGGAGUACGGUCGCAAGAUUAAAACUCAAAGGAAUUGACGGGGCCCCGCACAAGCAGCGGAGCAUGCGGCUUAAUUCGACGCAACGCGAAGAACCUUACCAAGGCUUGACAUAUACAGGAAUAUGGCAGAGAUGUCAUAGCGGUAAAACGUCUGUAUACAGGUGGUGCAUGGUUGUCGUCAGCUCGUGUCGUGAGAUGUUGGGUUAAGUCCCGCAACGAGCGCAACCCUCGUUCUGUGUUGCCAGCAUUUAGUUGGGGACUCACAGGAGACUGCCGGGGUUAACUCGGAGGAAGGUGGGGAUGACGUCAAAUCAUCAUGCCCCUUAUGUCUUGGGCUGCACGCAUGCUACAAUGGCUGGUACAAAGGGCUGCAAUACUGCAAAGUGGAGCGAAUCCCAAAAAGCCAGUCUCAGUUCGGAUUGGGGUCUGCAACUCGACCCCAUGAAGUCGGAGUUGCUAGUAAUCGUAGAUCAGCAACGCUACGGUGAAUACGUUCCCGGGGCUUGUACACACCGCCCGUCACAUCACGAAAGUCGGUAACACCCAAAGUCAGUGGCCCAACCGCAAGGAGGGAGCUGCCAAAGGUGGGAUCGGUGAUUGGGAUGAAGUCGUAACAA